rnacentral:rRNA from 1 species
UUCGCCCUUAGAGUUUGAUCCUGGCUCAGAGCGAACGCUGGCGGCAGGCUUAACACAUGCAAGUCGAGCGGGCCCUUCGGGGUCAGCGGCAGACGGGUGAGUAACGCGUGGGAACGUGCCCUUCGGUUCGGAAUAACCCUGGGAAACUAGGGCUAAUACCGGAUACACCCCUUGGGGGAAAGGUUUACUGCCGAAGGAUCGGCCCGCGUCUGAUUAGCUAGUUGGUGAGGUAACGGCUCACCAAGGCGACGAUCAGUAGCUGGUCUGAGAGGAUGAUCAGCCACACUGGGACUGAGACACGGCCCAGACUCCUACGGGAGGCAGCAGAAGGG